rnacentral:misc_RNA from 1 species
GUCACCUAACAGUGCUGUGCCAGAUCAAAAGUGUGGAAUUUGUAAAAAGUUUUUGUGGCAGAAGUCUCCCUGGAGCUCACAUCGAAUCAUGAGAGGUGGUGACAUGCCUAUUACUGGGGUGCUAUCCUGCAGUCAUGUGUUUCAUGCAGAAUGCUUAGAACAAGCGACUCCAAAGGCCCAGAUUCGUGACCCUUCUUGCCCCUUGUGCUUGAAGACCAUUGGAGCAGUCGAAGAAUCCCGGUCAAUUUCAGAGCCCUUGCAGUUGCAGGUGGCCCUAAGAUCCAUA